ACGGCCAUAUCACAUUAAAAUAUCUGUUCUCAUCCGAUUACCGAAGUUAAGCAACAUCGAUCCUGGUCAGUAUCUAGAUGGGUGAUCGCCUGGGAAUACUAAGUGC